rnacentral:rRNA from 1 species
UACGGGGGAGGCAAGCGUUGUCCGGAAUCACUAGGCGUAAAGGGCAAGUAGGCGGAUUGGUAAGUUACGGGUUAAAUUUAGGGGCUCAACCUCUAGUCAGCUCGUGAUACUGCCCAUCUAGAGUCAGACAGGGGAAGACGGAAUUCCCGGUGUAGCGGUGGAAUGCGCAGAUAUCGGGAGGAACACUCAUGGCGAAGGCAGUUUUCUGGGUCAUGACUGACGCUCAAUUGCGAAGGUGUGGGGAUCAAACAGG